rnacentral:rRNA from 2 species
GCAGUCGAACGAACUCUGGUAUUGAUUGGUGCUUGCAUCAUGAUUUACAUUUGAGUGAGUGGCGAACUGGUGAGUAACACGUGGGAAACCUGCCCAGAAGCGGGGGAUAACACCUGGAAACAGAUGCUAAUACCGCAUAACAACUUGGACCGCAUGGUCCGAGUUUGAAAGAUGGCUUCGGCUAUCACUUUUGGAUGGUCCCGCGGCGUAUUAGCUAGAUGGUGAGGUAACGGCUCACCAUGGCAAUGAUACGUAGCCGACCUGAGAGGGUAAUCGGCCACAUUGGGACUGAGACACGGCCCAAACUCCUACGGGAGGCAGCAGUAGGGAAUCUUCCACAAUGGACGAAAGUCUGAUGGAGCAACGCCGCGUGAGUGAAGAAGGGUUUCGGCUCGUAAAACUCUGUUGUUAAAGAAGAACAUAUCUGAGAGUAACUGUUCAGGUAUUGACGGUAUUUAACCAGAAAGCCACGGCUAACUACGUGCCAGCAGCCGCGGUAAUACGUAGGUGGCAAGCGUUGUCCGGAUUUAUUGGGCGUAAAGCGAGCGCAGGCGGUUUUUUAAGUCUGAUGUGAAAGCCUUCGGCUCAACCGAAGAAGUGCAUCGGAAACUGGGAAACUUGAGUGCAGAAGAGGACAGUGGAACUCCAUGUGUAGCGGUGAAAUGCGUAGAUAUAUGGAAGAACACCAGUGGCGAAGGCGGCUGUCUGGUCUGUAACUGACGCUGAGGCUCGAAAGUAUGGGUAGCAAACAGGAUUAGAUACCCUGGUAGUCCAUACCGUAAACGAUGAAUGCUAAGUGUUGGAGGGUUUCCGCCCUUCAGUGCUGCAGCUAACGCAUUAAGCAUUCCGCCUGGGGAGUACGGCCGCAAGGCUGAAACUCAAAGGAAUUGACGGGGGCCCGCACAAGCGGUGGAGCAUGUGGUUUAAUUCGAAGCUACGCGAAGAACCUUACCAGGUCUUGACAUACUAUGCAAAUCUAAGAGAUUAGACGUUCCCUUCGGGGACAUGGAUACAGGUGGUGCAUGGUUGUCGUCAGCUCGUGUCGUGAGAUGUUGGGUUAAGUCCCGCAACGAGCGCAACCCUUAUUAUCAGUUGCCAGCAUUAAGUUGGGCACUCUGGUGAGACUGCCGGUGACAAACCGGAGGAAGGUGGGGAUGACGUCAAAUCAUCAUGCCCCUUAUGACCUGGGCUACACACGUGCUACAAUGGAUGGUACAACGAGUUGCGAACUCGCGAGAGUAAGCUAAUCUCUUAAAGCCAUUCUCAGUUCGGAUUGUAGGCUGCAACUCGCCUACAUGAAGUCGGAAUCGCUAGUAAUCGCGGAUCAGCAUGCCGCGGUGAAUACGUUCCCGGGCCUUGUACACACCGCCCGUCACACCAUGAGAGUUUGUAACACCCAAAGUCGGUGGGGUAACCUUUUAG